GAUGAACGCUGGCGGCGUGCUUAACACAUGCAAGUCGAACGGAAAGGCCUCAGCUCGCUGGGGUACUCGAGUGGCGAACGGGUGAGUAACACGUGGGUGAUCUGCCCUGCACUUUGGGAUAAGCUUGGGAAACUGGGUCUAAUACCGAAUAUGACCACUUCUUGGAUGUUGUGGUGGAAAGCUUUUGCGGUGUGGGAUGAGCCUGCGGCCUAUCAGCUUGUUGGUGGGGUAAUGGCCUACCAAGGCGGCGACGGGUAUCCGGCCUGAGAGGGUGUACGGACACAUUGGGACUGAGAUACGGCCCAGACUCCUACGGGAGGCAGCAGUGGGGAAUAUUGCACAAUGGGCGCAAGCCUGAUGCAGCGACGCCGCGUGGGGGAUGAAGGCCUUCGGGUUGUAAACUCCUUUCGCUAUCGACGAAGCCACUUGUGGUGACGGUAGGUAGAUAAUAAGCACCGGCUAACUCCGUGCCAGCCGCCGCCGUAA
rnacentral:rRNA from 1 species